GCGGUCGCGGUCGCAUUGGACGUGCUGCUGUGGCUGCAGGCGGCCGGGAACAAGGGGAUGUUGGGCUACGACGAUGACGAUGAAUCAGCCGCCGCCGACCUGUCGGAGAUCAUCGAGUUGUACUCGCAGGACGACAUGCAUGCUGGUGCCCUUCACCCAUCUUUCAAUUUUUCCAAGGAUGACAUAAGUCAUGAUAUGUUACAUGCUGGGCAUAAGCAAGCUCAAAGAACCUCAUUGUUUUUUCAAAUAUUCAAGGGCUUCUUGACCAUGAAGGAUGGUGACAUUUCAGUCCUAUUCCACAAAAAUAUGUUAAUGAGGAUGUAUUAUUAG
rnacentral:lncRNA from 1 species